UGGGUGGGCUGGAAUCCCGGGCCUGGAGCCAGGCCACAGGGCAGGCAUGCUCAAACACACACACACAGGGGAGGCGCAUGCAUUUACACUCAAUCGCACACGUAUACACACAGUGGAUGCGCUCACAUCCACACUCUAGCAGCAGCCCAGCGGCUAACUGGGUUAGCCUAGCACUGACAGCUGGGAAUGACUACUAGCUCUACACUGACCAUGUGUGAGAUAUAAGAGGAAUGCAGGGACUGACUACGGAUCAGCUUGACCUUCUCUCAAAUUCCACCAACGGAAGAAUACAUUUUUAGCCCGCUGAAUCUGAAAUACUGCUUCGGUGCCUGCAUGCAUCCAACUCACUCAGUCCACUAGCAGCAUGCUCUCUCAGCCAAGAUCUGUGGUUUGGGGCAACGUUCUGGUCAGGCUCAGCUUUGCUCCUGUCCCCUCUAGCAUGGCUAGUUAUCUGGGACUGUGAUAGCUGCUGUCCGGGCCUGGAAUGUGGAUUCCCCUGGAAUGUAUGCUGAGCACUUGUUGGCUGCUUGGGUUGAGGCCGGGUGAUUGUGGAGGCCAUCUGAUGCAGCACUCCAUCACUCUCCUUCUUGGUCAAAUGGCCCUUACACAGCCUGGAGGUAUGUUGGGUCAUAGUCCCACUAAGCACAAACCAGAUGGGAUGGCGUAUUGCAGAAUGCUGUGGUAGCCAUGCUGGUUAAGUGUGCCUUGAAUUCUAAAUAAAUCACAGACAGUGUCACCAGCAAAGCACCCCCACACCUCCUCAUGCUUCACGGUGGGAACCACACAUGUGGAGAUUAUCAGUUCACCAACUCUGCGUCUCACAAAGACAUGGCGGGUUGGAACCAAAAAUCUCAAAUUUGGAUUCAUCAGACCAAAGGACCGGUCUAAUGUCCAUUGCUUGUGUUUCUUGGCCCAAGGAAGUGUCUUUUUCUUAUUUGUGUCCUUGACUAGUGGUUUCUUUGCAUGAAGGCCUGAUUUAAAUCAAAUGUUAUUUGUCGAAUAUAACAGGAAUGAUCAGACCUUACAGUGAAUUCCUUCUUACAAGCCCUUAACACUUAAUUUUCUUAAAACUGCAUUGUUGGUUAAGAAAAAAUAAGAAAUAAAAGUAACAAAAUAAUUAGAGCAGCAGUAAAAUAACAAUAGUGAGGCUAUAUACAGGGGGUACCGGUACAAAGUCAAUGUGCGGGGGCACCGAUUAGUCGGGGUAAUUGAGGUAAUAUGUACAUGUAGGUAGAGUUAAAGUGACUAUGCAUAGAUAAACAGAGUAGCAGCAGCAUAAAAUAGGAGGGGGGUAAUGCAAAUAGUCUGUGUAGACAAUUGAUUAGCUGUUCAGUCUCCUCUGAACAGUUGAUGUUGAGAUGUGUCUGUUACUUGAACUCUGAAGCAUUUAUUUGGGCUGCAAUUUCUGAGGCUGCUAACUCUAAUGAACUCAUCCUCUGCAGCAGAGGCAACUCUGGGUCCUCAUGAGAGCCAGUUUUAUCAUGUCUUAAAGUAAUGAUGGAUAGUCAUUUUUCUUUGCUUAUGUGAGCUGUUCUUGUCAUAAUAUGGACUUGGUCUUUUACAAAAUAGGGCAAUCUUCUGUAUACCACCCCUACCUUGUCACAACACAACUGAUUGGCAGAAAUGUUUUUCGAAAGAAAUAAAUUCCACAAAUGAAGUUAACAAGGCACAUCUGUUAAUUGAAAUGCAUUCCAGAUGACUGCCUCAUGAAGCUGGUUGAGAGAAUGCCAAGCGUGUGCAAAGCUGUUAUCAAGACAAAGGGUGGCUACUUUGAAGAACCUCAUACAAAAUAUAUUUAGAUUUGUUUAACACGGUUUUGGUUACUAUAUGAUUCCAUAUGUGUUAUUUCAUAGUUUAUGUCUUCACUAUUAUUCUACAAUGUAGAAAAUAGUAAAAAUAAAGUAAAACCCUGGAAUGAGUAGGUGUGUCCAAACUUUUGACUGGUACUGUAUAUAAAAUAAAUCACACAUAUUUUGGUGAAAAAGUGCAUAUUUACCGACUCAAAACCGAUAGUACUUAACAAAAAUAGCUCAUUUAGCCAAUACACUUUCAAUAAAACAAUGAAUUUG